rnacentral:rRNA from 1 species
CCUGAUCCAGCAAUGCCGCGUGUGGGAUGAAGGCCUUCGGGUUGUAAACCACUUUUGGCGGGGGCGAAAUAUCGAGUGCUAAUACCAUUCGGUGAUGACGGUACCCGCAGAAUAAGCACCGGCUAACUACGUGCCAGCAGCCGCGGUAAUAA